CUGGCGCUUUUUACGUGAAAUGGUAGAGACCCUGGUGGGCUCUCAGAGUCCUUAAUGAAAGCGCUCAUCAGUCUCUCCCGCGCUCGGCCUGCUGUGUGUUAACAGCACGUUGCAUAACUAAUAGUGACGCCUGUGCCGUUUCUCACUGUUGCCACGGACAGCGGGCAGUCAUCACGUCAUUCCUGGAGUCAUACAUCUGAGACCCCUCAGGAGUCAAGGUGAGAGGGAGGACCAUUCACACGCUCCCUAGUCUCUCAUCCAUUCCACAUGCUGGUAAUUUAUCCCCUCUGGUUAACUUACUUUCAUCACAAUUAAAAUGCCCAGGGCUUCAGCGCAUUACUCUUUUCUUCUGUCUUGUUCUCUCUCUCUUUCUCUUGUAUGCAGACACUGAGUUCAAUUUAGCUUUUCUCUUGUCAUAGAGAAAUGAUGAGAACAUCAUAGACUAGCCAAGGCCCUGAUACAGUUUUAAUAUUAAAGGAGACACCAAGCUGUAAAUCUCAUAUGACAUUACGUCCAAUUUGUGUGGAUCAGGGACGCACCACAGCCUUCCUUUCAUAUUUACAUCUGCUUGUCAGAAUGUCUCCCACAAACAAAGUCAAUAACUGAAUCCCAAGCUGGCAGAACAUAUCAGAGAGAUUUUAUGCCAAGUUUCACGUGAAGUUAAAUUUAAAUGUUGAUCUAAUAAAUCUCAUGCUUGUUUCUGAUCCACAUCAGUCCACACAGGCCUUUAAAAUCUGAAUACAUCAGUUCUCCAGGGAGGAAUAAACCUGUCCAGUUAAAUGAGAUUGCAGGAGUAGCUGUGCAUCUGGAUCCAAAUGAAGUUUCAAACACCCUAGUUUUAUAAUGGCAGUCUCGAGCAGAGCAGAUGCAGCCCUUUGCUAAGACACAUUAAUUCUCUAAAUAAGUUCUCAAUGAACUCGCACUGAAUCAAUGGGGUCUCUUCUGUCUGCAGGUGGCUGCUCCGUACAAAGCUGACUAAUAGGCGGGUUUGAUUGCUACACCAGGUGGAAAAUGAUCAAUAUACCAAGUGCUUAACCAGUGGUCCAUGCGCCUUAGACUUCACCUCAAAUUUUAAAAUGCCCCUACCAAUGUGGUUAAUUUGUUUAACGUGUCAAAGCAAGUUACUCAAUAUACACAACAGACUAAACAGGGAUUGAUGACUCAAUGUUAAGACAGAUUUGGAUCUAAAACCUGAAGUAAUUUCAGGCAGUUUCUUCAUGGUCAGCUGAGCAGUCUUAAGCAGACAAAUGUGAACUUCAAGCUUAACCCAAAGCAUAAGUAUGGGACAGGGUCACCCUUUCGGGCCAAACAAUGACAGAUGGGAGGUGUUUGAAAAUAGUGUUUGCA
rnacentral:lncRNA from 1 species